rnacentral:rRNA from 1 species
UACAGAGGGUGCAAGCGUUAAUCGGAAUUACUGGGCGUAAAGCGCGCGUAGGUGGUUCGUUAAGUUGGAUGUGAAAGCCCCGGGCUCAACCUGGGAACUGCAUUCAAAACUGGCGAGCUAGAGUAUGGUAGAGGGUGGUGGAAUUUCCUGUGUAGCGGUGAAAUGCGUAGAUAUCAGGAGGAACACCGGUGGCGAAGGCGGCUAUCUGGACAGAAACUGACGCUGAGGCGCGAAAGCUAGGGGAGCAAACAGG